CAGCAGAAAAUCAGCUUCUGAUUUUCUGAACGUUGGAGAAUAAUCGAUUAUCAGAUCUGAAUAAUCGAUUAUCUGGGCACAAAAUCAGCAUAAUUGAUUGCCAAUUAAGCAAUGGAUAUACUCCAUUUUGCACCUAUAAAAAGAGGUCUUUUGAGCUGAUUUUAAACACACAACACCUCCCAAUAUUGAUAUACAUAUUGACAUUAUUUGAGCAUCAUUUUAGAGC
rnacentral:lncRNA from 1 species